rnacentral:rRNA from 1 species
AUCGAACGCUAGCGGGAUGCUUUAUACAUGCAAGUCGAACGAGUGGCGGAUGGGUGAGUAAUAUAUCGGAACGUGCCCAGUAGCGGGGGAUAACUACUCGAAAGAGUGGCCAAUAACGCAUACUAUUGGUGCGGCCCAUAUCGGAUUACCUAGUUGGUGGGGUAAAGGCUGCACAGGGCAACGAUCCGUAGCUGGUUUGACAGGACGACCGGCCACACUGGGACUGAGACACGGCCCAGACUCCUACGGGAGGCAGCAGUGGGGAAUUUUGGGCAAUGGGGGAAACCCUGAUCCAGACAUCCCGCGUGUAUGAGAAGGCCUUCGGUUUGUAAAGUACUUUUGGCAGAGAAGCGGUAUCUACACAAUAAGCGCCGGCUAACUACGUGCCAGCAGCCGCGGUAAUAC